UAUAAAAUGGCAGACUAAAAUGCAUAAGCUUUAAGAGCUUACUAUGACUAAUUAAGUCUUUUAUAA
rnacentral:tRNA from 1 species